UCUCAUGAGAUCAUUGGAAGACCUAAGCUGCUGAUAUUUACUGCAGAUUCCAAGUUAUGAAAAUCAAGUGAUGCCCAGCUCAAAUACUCUACAAAUUGCAACACGAUAUUCUCUACUCAGCAUUUGUAACAGUAAAUGAAAUCAAUAGGCCCAACUGAGGAGACGAUAACAUGAUAGCAACACGAAAAGAUUCUGUUCUUUCUACAAAACAGAGAAGAGCACAAAGAGGAAUUGGUAUAACGUAUCUGGAAGUAAGAGCAGCAUAUCCUGUCUAUUUCAAUAAGGUAAAUUUUGUAAAAGUAAAUUUUGAUCAUACAUAUUUUAUACUCGAUACCUGUUAGCCAUUUUGCAAUUACAUUGAUGUAAAACAAAGUGGAAAUACAACACAUUGAGAAAAAUCAGUCAUCAGGUAGAGUGAAUACUCGAAGGAAAUUGACUCUUAAACAUCAGUAGCAGUAAUCACAGCAGUGAUUACGCUCAUAAAUUGCAAUGUAAGGUCAAAAACUAAUUUGACUAUAAGUGAUAUGCUCCAUUAAAUCCGAAAAUAAUAUUAACAAUUCAUCUUCUUUUAAGCUGAAACUUUCUUUCGAAUAUAAAUUCGACAUUAAAUUCACAAGGAAAAAAUGCAGCAUCCUUAAACAGCUCAGAGGAGAGAAAUAUCAAUUUUUUAAAGAAAGAAGCCUUUUUUUCAAGAUCAACUCAACAAAAGCACGGCACUCUAUCAUAUAAAUAAGAACAGGGAAAUCAAUUACGGUAUAAAAAGAUAAACCAAAUGGACAUUAAAGAGAGGAGUCUCUGAAUUCAACCGUUAUGGACGAUCUAUCACGUGAAAAAAAAUAAAUAAAGGAAAGGUAUUUUAGUUUAAAUUGUUGAGAAAAUGCCUGGAAAUUGCACGCAGAAACCAAACCCAAUUAAAAGUCCGGAUAGAGAAGACACCAUUGGGAAAAAAAUAAAUUAAAAAAAAAGAUCAGAUUUGGUAGCAGGAAAGAUUAAAAUACAAGAAAAGAAACAAAAUCCCCUGCUGAAAUUAAGAAUACUAAUAAUUAGUCAAAGAAAACCAUAAAAUAGUCUCUUGAUCACUACUCUAAACCAGAGACACUCAAGAUAGGAUCAAAAGUCAAAAAUCACCACAUUUGAGCGUUGGGAUUUCAGAUAGAACUUCUCAUACCAAAUUUGAUCCAAAAAUUCACCACAUUUCUCCAAUCCACCCCUCGAAUUGCCAAAAUAGCGCCCUAGUGAGGGAGAGAAGGAGGUAGAGAAGGGUGGAGGGGAAGGAGAUUAUAGAUCCGCGGAGUGGAAGAGGGAGAAGGAUUUCGAGAAAGGCCAAACCCUAACAUGCGCCGGAGGGGAGCAAAGCUUGAUCUUGCUGAUCUCUUCGAUGUCCAACCUCCUGAUUAAAUCCUGAACGUCUGAUCCCGAGUACUAAGCUAGCAAUGGAAACCGUCCGAUUACGAUUGAACGGUCUCUGAUCUCUUACCACCCCACCGAAUCUAAAGGCCACGGCCAUGGUGCCCCUGGGGUAAAGGGUAGGGCACGGACGUCCUCG
rnacentral:lncRNA from 1 species